CAGGUGUUCGCGGCUGGCAGGCCGAAAGGUGCCAGGUGAGGAAAGUCCGGGCUCCACAGGGCAGGACGCCGGAUAACGUCCGGCGGGGGCAACUCCAGGGACAGUGCAACAGAAAUGAACCGCGGCUGCGUUUGCAGACGUAAGGGUGGAAAGGCAGUGUAAGAGACUACCGUCCGUCUGGUAACAGGCGGAGCCAUGUAAACCCCGUCCGGAGCAAGACCGAAACGAGACAUAACCCGGCCCGGGUGUCUCAGGUGGGUCGCUUGAGCCUGUCGGUGACGAUAGGACUAGAUAGAUGAACAUCCAAUGACAUAACCCGGCUUAUCGCUUUGC
rnacentral:RNase_P_RNA from 1 species